rnacentral:lncRNA from 1 species
GUGGAGGUUGCAGUGAGCUGAGAUCGCGCCACUGCACUCCAGCUUGGGCGACAGAGCGAGACUCCAUCUAAAAAAUACAGCUGUAUCAAAUCUGCUUGUGCUUUGGCCAUCUGAGAGAUCUUAAGUGUGCAAUGCAAUGAGGAUGGAGCAACGUAUACACCAAUCAAGAGAAAGAACAUGUCCAUUACCCCAAAAAGUUCUCUUACACCCGCUUCCAGGCUAGAGUGCAGUGGUAGGAUCUCGGCUCACUGCAGCAUUGACCUCCUGGGCUCAAGCUAUCCUCCCACCUCAGCCUUCUGAGUAGCUGGGACCGCAGAGGUGCAUCACCAUACUCGGCUAAGUUUUGCAACUGAUCCUGAGCACACGUCUCCAUGGCGGCAGGAGUCAUUGCUUUUUAGAUCACGUUCUCCGAGCAAGAGCCGAGAAAUCGAUAUCUCUCACAAGGCUGUAGACGUGCUGGAACUGAUUAGUCAUUAACCUAUUGUCACUCCUCCCAGCGCUCAUGGAAGGAGUUGCAGCAUGUCAAUGGAUUUUAAAAGAGUACCAGGAUUAAACUUCUCCAUGGCAGUGGGCAUUUGUGAAAGGUCUGUUCUGAAAUACCAGUACCAUCUUCUCACAUGUUAAGGGCCAAAAAUCUCAGUAAGUCACUCCAAAUCAGGUUUUACAGAUGAUUUUUUGAAAUAUUGAUUCUGGUAUUGUCCCUGAAAAUUUAAUUUAUCAAAUAAGCCAAUUAAGAAGCGUCUUUUAAAGGCACGUAGGGACCAUUCAGCACUGGAUGGACAAGAAAAUGAACAUAUUAAUCUUACAGUCAGCAACGUUUUGUUGAUGCUUUGGAAACUGAACUGCAAAGGAGUACUUAAAUGAACUGAAAGAGUUAAUUUGACUUCUAAGAGCCAUAAACUGGCUUGGGUUGGGUGGAUUCUGUAUUCCCAGACUCUGGUUCAAUAAAAAUGUAAAUGUUAUCUGGGUACACAAAGCAUAUUUCAUGGCGAUAAUGAAUCUGUUGACAUACUGUUCAUACUUUAUUAUAUAAAUUUUAGUAAUGUAUUUGCCAGAGAGAAAAAUGAAUACACAGGGAAAGACUCUGUGCUCAGCUCUACAAUCUGCCCCAGGUUGGCUGGCACACGUUCGCUUCUGACCUUGGCGCAGUUUGCUGGGCUGCCUUGAUUUAAUCAAUCAGAGCCCUGUGGAUGUUGAGAGGAACACGACGGCGUCAUUGACUGAGCUAAUCUAACUGGAUUUGAAAUAGGAGCUAGAAGAUGGGUUAUUUUUAAACCAAAACCCACUGAUGCAUAAACCUAUCCUGCAGCGUGAUUGCUUAGAUUUAUAAUCGAUUAGGUGUGUCUUAGUGUGUAUGUAAUCCCUGAGAGGUGACCACAUUAGGAGGGGAUGGGCUUGAGUUCGCAGGCAGAGGAGGCCUUCUCCUUUGGCUGGCCUGCCGUAGGCUCUGCCUGCAGGCCCAGAAUGGAGUGCUGUUUAGUGUGACCUGUUACCAGCAUGGGCUUUCUAAUUUGCAAGGCCGCGGGCAAAACGGACAUGCAGAACCUUUUGAUCAAAAAUUUUGAAGAAUUUCAGGGUGGUGACAGCAGAACCUUAAACCAGCUGCACAAGUCACAGAUCCAAAAAGUCAGCCUUGCUUGCUGGGUUAUGAGGAUAGAGGGCUGCCCUCUAGCGUUACAGGAAAGAGGAAUUCUGCUUCCUGAUGUUUGCUUUUUAUUUUUUCUCCCACAGGCCCAGUUAGAGAUUCCCCAGCAGGUUUCUUUUUGCAACAAAUAAAUUGCUACAGAGUAAAUAUAUGGGAGAACCUCUUGCUCUCCAGGCCUUACCCUUGGAGUGGCAGCCCUGCUACCCAGAGACACAGAAAUGAACCAGAGGUCUCCUUUGGGGUCCCUUUAGUUUCAAGAGUCCAUAUUUCACGCUCCUGGCUUUGUACUAAAGGACGU